rnacentral:rRNA from 1 species
UACGUAGGGCGCAAGCGUUAUCCGGAAUUAUUGGGCGUAAAGAGCUCGUAGGCGGUUUGUCGCGUCUGCCGUGAAAGUCCGGGGCUCAACUCCGGAUCUGCGGUGGGUACGGGCAGACUAGAGUGAUGUAGGGGAGACUGGAAUUCCUGGUGUAGCGGUGAAAUGCGCAGAUAUCAGGAGGAACACCGAUGGCGAAGGCAGGUCUCUGGGCAGUAACUGACGCUGAGGAGCGAAAGCGUGGGGAGCGAACAGG